CCUACGGGGGGCAGCAGUGGGGAAUAUUGGGCAAUGGGCGCAAGCCUGACCCAGCAACGCCGCGUGAAGGAAGAAGGCUUUCGGGUUGUAAACUUCUUUUCUCAGGGACGAAGCAAGUGACGGUACCUGAGGAAUAAGCCACGGCUAACUACGUGCCAGCAGCCGCGGUAAUACGUAGGUGGCAAGCGUUAUCCGGAUUUACUGGGUGUAAAGGGCGUGUAGGCGGGACUGCAAGUCAGAUGUGAAAACCACGGGCUCAACCUGUGGCCUGAAUUUGAAACUGUAGUUCGUGAGUACUGGAGAGGCAGACGGAUUGCUGAGGGGAGCGGUGAAAGGCGUAGAUAUUAGGAGGAACACCAGUGGCGAAGGCGGUCUGCUGGACAGCAACGGACGCUGAGGCGCGAAAGCGUGGGGAGCAAACAGGAUUAGAUACCCGAGUAGUC
rnacentral:rRNA from 1 species